rnacentral:SRP_RNA from 1 species
UCGUGAUAGACGGGGAGCUAGCGGUGCCUUGAAAUCCCAUCUGGGAUGACCCGAAAUCCGCUUACGCGGGGUCGAAUACUUCAUAUGAGUCAGUUUUCUGAGGGGCAACAGCAAGGAGUUGAACAGUGUUGAGGAUUGGGUCUUGUGAUGGUACCGCCUACCAACUCCGUCAGGUCUGGGAAGAAGCAGCGGUACGUAGGUAUGGGCUGGUCAUGAGGAAGCCUGGUCUGAGCUGUCCGCCUUACUGUUCCUGAGAGAACUGGCAAAGGGAGCUGCACGA